AAGUCUGGUGCCAGCUAGCCGCGGUAAUUCCAGCUCCAAUAGCGUAUAUUAAAGUUGUUGCAGUUAAAAAGCUCGUAGUUGAAUUUCGGGGUCAGUAGGUUGGUCGUGCCACAGGUAUGAACUGGUCUCACUGAUUCCUCCUUCCUGAUGAACCGUAAUGCCAUUAAUUUGGUGUUGCGGGGAGACUGGACUGUUACUUUGAAAAAAUUAGAGUGUUUAAAGCAGGCUAACGCUUGAAUACAUUAGCAUGGAAUAAUGAAAUAGGACGUUCGGUCUUAUUUUGUUGGUUUCUAAGAUUGACGUAAUGAUUAAUAGGGAUAGUUGGGGGCAUUAGUAUUCAAUUGUCAGAGGUGAAAUUCUUGGAUUUAUUGAAGACUAACUACUGCGAAAGCAUUUGCCAAGGAUGUUUUCAUUAAUCAAGAACGAAAGUUAGGGGAUCGAAGACGAUCAGAUACCGUCGUAGUCUUAACCAUAAACUAUGCCGACUAGGGAUCGGAUGAUGUAUUAGCCAUUUUUUAAUGACUCAUUCGGCGCCAACCGGGGAAAAAGUAA
rnacentral:rRNA from 1 species